CACGCAGGCGGUCUGUCAAGUCGGAUGUGAAAUCCCCGGGCUCAACCUGGGAACUGCAUUCGAAACUGGCAGGCUGGAGUCUUGUAGAGGGGGGUAGAAUUCCAGGUGUAGCGGUGAAAUGCGUAGAGAUCUGGAGGAAUACCGGUGGCGAAGGCGGCCCCCUGGACAAAGACUGACGCUCAGGUGCGAAAGCGUGGGGAGCAAACA
rnacentral:rRNA from 1 species